rnacentral:rRNA from 1 species
UACGUAGGGUGCGAGCGUUGUCCGGAAUUAUUGGGCGUAAAGAGCUCGUAGGCGGCUUAGUAAGUCGGGUGUGAAAACCCCAGGCUCAACCUGGGGACGCCACCCGAUACUGCUAUAGCUAGAGUCCAGUAGGGGAGUGUGGAAUUCCCAGUGUAGCGGUGAAAUGCGCAGAUAUUGGGAGGAACACCAGCGGCGAAGGCGGCACUCUGGGCUGGUACUGACGCUGAGGAGCGAAAGCGUGGGUAGCGAACAGG